GGGGGUGAUAUGGGUUCGACGGGGCACAGGAAGCGACCUGCUGCACGCCGAGGCGCUGGACCUCGUAAUAACCGGCACCUUAAACACAACUGCAGAACCUGAGUUCGCACUCGCAGCUUAAUUGCUGCGACGUCCGUGGCCUGACGCCGUCUAGGGUCACGGGCGCCAACAGACGGCUGGGCUGAAGCCUUUGCCCUUCGGGCGGAUGCCGAGAAAACAGAAGGGCUGGCCCGAUCCGGAUCCCGUGCGCCGGAGCCGGACCGGGUGAAACAAAAGGCGUACUAAGCGUGUAGACGCAGGCGUGGAAGUGUCUCGGACGGGGGUUCGAUUCCCCCCACCUCCAUUC
rnacentral:tmRNA from 1 species